UGCGGACUGAACAAAACCACUGGGGGCCACAUUCUGCCUGGAGUAUCCUUCAGUAAUAUCCCAUCGAAAUUUUUCUACAGGCUCUUCCAACAUGAGCCCUCACAUCUGCAAGAAUCUAGAUCUGACCGUCUUCACAGCAAAUAUGGCUGGUGGCAUUUGCAGGAGGGAGAUGACUCCGAAACAGGCCAAGGACACAAAGGAAAAGGAACAAAUGAACAACGCACCAGCAGUGGGGACCCUCCCUAAGCACCUGUUGGUGCAGAGAAAAAAAGCAAUACUGAAUAAACUAUAUAACAGGAAAACAGGAGUAUUCCAAAUGCUGAAUGUUUCCAGCAGAUGUAUCAGCCAUUCUUCAGAAUUCACUAAUUCCCAUCACAGCUUGAGUCCUGGAUGAGACAAAUCAAUGUGAAAUAUUUCUUCCUCGAUUCUUCCAGCUGAAACUGAGAGUCAAAGAACGUUGAUUAUCUCUACCUUCAGGGAAAUAUAGUGAUUUAUGGCGCAAAGCUGGCAAUUACUGCAU